rnacentral:rRNA from 4 species
CAAAACUUUCAACAACGGAUCUCUUGGUUCUGGCAUCGAUGAAGAACGCAGCGAAAUGCGAUAAGUAAUGUGAAUUGCAGAAUUCAGUGAAUCAUCGAAUCUUUGAACGCACAUUGCGCCCGCCAGUAUUCUGGCGGGCAUGCCUGUCCGAGCGUCAU